rnacentral:lncRNA from 1 species
AAAGUCAGCAGGAGGAAGUAGAAAUGAGACAGAGGCCUCUGUCUCCUAAUCUUUUCCAUAGGCUACUGUUUUCUUUCUUUUCUCAUGAGGAAAAAUGAUAAAAGCAAAAUAAACAAAUUAGCUACCACUUAUGAAAAUCCCCAGGAAAUUCCUUUUCCAGAGUUCUCACUUACUAAUUUGGCUAACAUUACCAAUGGUAACAGACCCCACGUAUCCGCCACAAUUGCUGUGAGUUGCAGAGGAAAAAGACUGGGAGGAAAUCUUCACUUUUCUUCUGCAACAGCAACCAACAGAAAUGAAAGAGCCAGGGGAUUUUGCAAAAUAUCAACUCCUGAGAACUAAGAAUGAGAGCCUUUCCUGCCAAGCCCAUUCUGUGCCAGUCAUCAUAAAAUACUGGAUUCUAUAGCACAUCCUUGAAUUGUGUUUAUCCAAUCCACAUUUCUCUUCUGCUGGACAUUCAGAGGACUGUUUCUCACUAAUAUCAGGAGAAAUCUGUCUUGGUGUUGGAGCCUCUUGGAAUUCGUGACAAGGAAAAAAGUACACCAAGUAAACUAGUAAAACAAAAGGACCAGCAACAAGGCACCAUCUUUGAAGCAAGAAACAGUCCCUUGCCAGACAUCAAAUCUGCUAGCACCUUACUCUUGGACUUCCACAACUGUGAACAAUAUAUUCCACAAGAAUGAACAAGUUACCCAUUCUAAGAUAUUUUGCUAGAGCAGCCCAAACAGACUACAACAGUUUGAUUUUCUAGUUAUUCUUUCACAACACGGAUAUUAAAUGGUGACCUGCCUCCA